rfam:Chelonia mydas contig76977, whole genome shotgun sequence.
GUAGUUGUGGCUGAGUGGUUAAGGCGAUGGAUUUGAAAUCCCUUGUGGGGGUCCCCCCCACGCAGGUUCAAAUCCUGUCAACUACA